rnacentral:lncRNA from 10 species
CCAGAGCACAUUUGGAUGAGUCCGGGGUUGUAAAUCUGUGUGUGUGAGUGGGUCCUGUCUGUGUUUGCAUUUGAGAAGUUGUGCUUUGUAUCUGCAGAUGUGAAUAAGUAUAUUUAUGGAUAACCCUAGACAUGGUCCUUAACUACUCUGUGACCCAGUUUCCUCCUCAUAAAAUGGAGAUAGUAAUAAUAUUACCCACCUUUAGGGGUUUGU